AACACCCCUGGACCCUUAGAGCCGCAGCCCCAACCCACCGACCCCUCCCCCUUCAGUCUAAAAACCAGCCUUCCACACCACCCUUCAGCCGCCAGCCACACGCCACCAAGCUCGCCGAACGCCCGACAACAAUCUUCAACAACGAGUCGCCCACCCCUAAAACUCUAAUUGCCGCACACAGCUUUCCCAAAAAUCAAUCUUCAUUCCUUAACUUGAAACACUGAUUUUCCUCCAACAAAGAGACAAAACCAAGAACCCUAGACACAUAUCCAAUUCGCCACAAAUAACAAUUUUAUUUGUUACCAAAAAGUGCUUGUGACCAUACUUUUUCUUCAUAGAAAGACCAGUACACUCCAAAAGAAAAUUAGGAGUACAUCGUUGCGGGGUUACAUUGUUGUUCCCAUGUUUGAGCAAAACAACAAAUCAAGAGAUGAUAGUUUGUGGCUUUAACACAAGGGAGUGGAUUGUAUAAGUGGAGUAUUGCGGCGAAAUUGGAGGCGUGAUCGAGGCAGUAAGGUUUUCCGAUUGAGGUGUCCAUUCGCGAUUUGCCGUCUCCAAUUGUAGGCUCAUGCUUGUCGAGUUAGACAUCAAAGAUUAAUGGAUGAUUUGUCUUCUCUGCUUAAUCUAUUUGAUGUCAAGAAUGGAUUUACUUAAUAAGCAAUUAAGAUGGUUGAACAGUUAACAAGUUAAAGGGGCCUUGGGAUUUGGGGUACUGGAAAUUGAAAAAAGGGUUUGAGCCAUGUGGUUUGUUAGGGAUUAAACUUCAUGGUAUUUGGGCUUCGUAUGAUUUCAAUUGUUAUUAUUAUAUUCUAUUGAGUCGACAGUAGUAUGCUUAGGUCCGUCAUCACCUGGGUAGGCAAACUUUAGGAUUUUUGUUAGUUUUAAGGUGAGAGGUAGUUCCUUUAGUUAAAUUCAUCCGGGGAAUGCCCCAAAGGAUUUGUAUAUAUUUUAUUCCGGGGAAUGCCCCGUAGUAUUCUAUAAUUGGAGGCUAAAAGUAGAACUUGUAGUGUUUUAUUCUUGUUUUAUUUUUCUUUAUUAGGUGGGGACGACCUCGAGCCUCUUAUGUGUUAAUUUUCUCAUUUAUGUGAUUAUUACCUCACUUCGAAUAUUUUAAAAGCCAACUUGAUCAUGUACGCAACCGUACUAGUUACGAGACUCGGGGAGUACCUAACACCUUCUCCCCGAGUCAGAUGAAUCCCUUACCCAAGUCUCUGGUGCGGACUUAGUUUUGGAGUCCAAAAUGUUUUAAAGGAAAAAUUAUUUUUAAAAACGGUGACCUGGCACAACGAAAUCAAUGUCAGGUGGCGACUCUAAAAUAUCUUUUGAAACACAAUCCUUUGUCACUUUCAUAAUUGAAAACCUUUUUGAGCUUUACAAAUCUUUUUAUUUAUUUAAGAGGGUUAGUGAGGUUGUAAAAAAGAGGUGUGACAAUAAUAAUGCUGGCAAAUCAGAUAUAGAUGUUAUGUUUAUGUAUACGGCCAAAAUUGGGGAGUUCAAUUCUGGGACUACUAUGCCGCCCCACGCCUAACCUCGAAAAAGCCCGAAGUAGAGCGUGCCCCGAGGUGUGUCCCUCGAGGGAGCAUAUCGAAGGCUCACUGUGGUCGACCUCGGAGCAGUACAAUCGGUGAUCAUCAUGGAGAGGCGGGAAAAUUCCCAAAUACAUGUGGUUAGAACUAACCAGGUCUGCAAAGAAUAGUACUAAUCCAUACUAAGUCAUUAUACAGCUAUACCAGUAGCAUUUUCUCAUUAGUAUUAGACAUGUACCAUGUUAGGAUUCCCCCUCAUAUAUAAAGGUAACCCUUAUCAUCUUGUAAAAGAAUUGGAAUUUCUAUACAAUAUAUUGAAUACAAUACAACAUCCUCUGGUCUUUGCUAACA